UCUGUCUUGAUUUUAUAGUAAUACCCGGUUGCAAUUAUUGGCCGCCAUCUUUGAUUUUUAUAGACGUUCGGGCAAAAGGAGAAAUGUAUAUCCAGACAUGGACUAUAGCUAGAUACUAACUUGUGUGUUAGUUGUUUAGUUGAAAUGUAAUCUUAUUUCUGUAAAAGAAAAAAACAACAAACAAAUCAGCCUUUUUUUAUAUCAAUGUCAUCAAUGUGUAGGCCUAAUAUUAGACUUUCAAUGAUUCAGAAGUUUCUCUACAGUUUCGUUAUUUUUUUUUCCAGUCAUUGAUGUUAGCAUGUACUACACAAAGAAAAACAGGCAAAGCAUGAAGCCAAAGGAAAUGUUUUUACCAAGGCAUGUUCCUCAAUAGCGGAGAGAGUUUUAUCCAGUGUCGGUUCUGCAGAAGAACCCAUUCAUAGCAGACCACCCAUUGCAGCACUUGUAAGGUCGCUAUAAAGAACCCGACAGACUCUGCGACCAAAAGAUCCCACUGACGUGUCGUCAAGCCUUGACGAAGAUUUCAUCGAUCAUAGUGCACCGGGAUUUUAUCAAAAAAUAGUAAAAGUUGGGGAAAGGCGCCAUCACAUUUUUUGUACUGAUAGACAGAUGCAACUACUCGCACGCGCAAAAACUUGGUAUAUGGAUGCAACUUUUCGGGUGGUGAACAAGCCAUGGUCUCAGCUGUUUUCCA